GAUGAACGCUGGCGGCGUGCUUAACACAUGCAAGUCAAACGAUGAACCGGGUGCUUGCACUCGGGGAUUAGUGGCGAACGGGUGAGUAACACGUGAGCAACCUGCCCCUGACUCUGGGAUAAGCGCUGGAAACGGCGUCUAAUACUGGAUAUGUCCCGUCACCGCAUGGUGUGCGGGUGGAAAGAUUUUUCGGUUGGGGAUGGGCUCGCGGCCUAUCAGCUUGUUGGUGAGGUAAUGGCUCACCAAGGCGUCGACGGGUAGCCGGCCUGAGAGGGUGACCGGCCACACUGGGACUGAGACACGGCCCAGACUCCUACGGGAGGCAGCAGUGGGGAAUAUUGCACAAUGGGCGGAAGCCUGAUGCAGCAACGCCGUGUGAGGGAUGACGGCCUUCGGGUUGUAAACCUCUUUUAGCAGGGAAGAAGCGAAAGUGACGGUACCUGCAGAAAAAGCACCGGCUAACUACGUGCCAGCAGCCGCAGUAA
rnacentral:rRNA from 1 species